rnacentral:rRNA from 1 species
AUGGAGGCUGCGGCGGCCACAGCUUUUGCCGGAAGGAUCGCGCCGAAGCUCCUGGAGUUCUUAGCUGCAAAUCACAAGCUUCGGCAGAAUCUGGAGCAUGACAUCACCUACAUCCAAAGAGAGUUUGCGUUGAUUUCUGCCGCCAUUCAGCAAGACGAUGAGUGUCGCUGGAGAAACGGCGCCGUCGGUGACCAUGUGCAGAGGGCCUGGAUCCAAUUCAUACGUGACUUGGCGCACGCCAUUGAGGACUGCAUCGACCGCUUCGGGCACCGGGUGACCAUGUCUGGGACGUCGACGUGGAUCCGUCAGGCUGUCCACAGGUUGCAGACGAUGACAGUCCGCAAGGAGUUUGCCAAGGCAAUCCGCGAGCUCAAGAAGAUAUCACAGCAGUCAUCAAAGCUGAGAGAAACUUACUUCUACGCCAGCAUCAGUGCUGGCACCUCCUCUUCCUCAGUAGCGUCGUCGUCAGUGGCAUGUGACUGUGAGACGACGACACAGAUGGCGAUAGAUGACACCCUCUCAACUGGCAGGCCCUUGGGCAUCGAUGAGCCCAGGGACGAGCUUCUCGAGCUGAUCCAGCAGCAGCAACAGCAGCUCAAGGUUAUCUCCAUUGUUGGUUUCGAUGGUAUAGGCAAGACUCUCCUUGCCAAGCGUGUGUAUGACACAAUUGAGAACAAUUACGAAGCUCGGGCUUGGGUCUCUGCGGCGGAGCAAGGGGUCCCAACAAAUGUUAUCAAGGAGAUACUGCAGCAACUUGGUAUCCCCACCAAUGGUGGAGGUAACCUCAAUAAGCUCUGCACAAUCCUCAGACAAUAUCUUGGGACCAAGAGGUUCUUCAUUGUAAUCGAUGACAUGCGUACAGAAUUUUGGCAUGAUAUAAAAGAUACCUUUAUGGGGUUGAGCGGCAGAGUUCUGGUGACGACAUCCAUUCAGUCAGUAGCAAAUGCCUGCAGCAGCUCAGCCCCUCAUGAUCAUGUGUACGUAAUGAAGACUCUUGCUGAUGAACACUCGAGACUGUUGUUCUUCAAGGAAGCUUUCCAAGAUGACAAUCCGCCAGUAGAUAAGGAGGAUCAACUUGGCUCAGAAGCACUGAAGAAGUGCGAUGGUUUACCCCUUGCUCUUGUUACCACAGCCCGGUACUUGCAAAGCACAGGCAAUCCGACACGUGAAAACUGGGCAACAUUAUGCCACAACCUGGGAGCUCAUCUCCAAACAAAAGAGAUGUUAGCAAGAAUGAAGCGUGUGCUUGUCCACAGCUACACCAGCCUUGUUAAACAUGAUGUCAAGACAUGCUUGCUAUAUCUAGGUAUCUACCCUAGUGGUCGUACAGUAAGGAGAGGAAGCUUGAUAAGGAAAUGGUGCGCUGAAGGGUUUAUCCAAGGAGAUUAUAUGUGUAAUGCUCUGGAUGCUGCUAUUGACAAUUUCAAAGAGUUGGUCAACCGAUGUAUCAUUCGGCGUACAGAUGCCAAUAGGGAAAACAGCGAAGAUCAGCUGAAGACAUACCAUACUCACGGCAUGAUGCUCGAGUUCAUCCUGCACAUGUCCAAGUGUGAUAAUUUCAUUACCUUGUUAUACGAUCAGCUGGCUCCCCCGCCCCCACCCAGCAAAAUCCGUUGGCUCUCCCUCCAUGACGCAAGUGCCAGAGUAGCCAAUGAUCUAUUUCUUGUCCGGUCUCUGACAAUCUUUGGCAGGGCGCAUGAAUCUGUCUUGGAUUUUUCCAAAUAUGAACUGCUGCGAGUUUUGGAUCUAGAAGAAUGCGGUAACCACUUGGAGGACAAGCAUCUUAGGGAGAUAUGCAGUACCAUGUUGCUGCUCAGGUACCUAAGCCUCGGGUCCGCUGUUAUGAUUACAAUGCUUCCCAGAGAGAUCAAAAGGCUUCGACUUUUGGAGACGCUGGAUGUAAGAAAAACCAAGAUAGAGAUUCUGCCCACACAAGUCAUGGAGCUGCCAUGCCUGAUUCAUCUGUUUGGAAAGUUCAAGCUCCAACAAGGUGUAGGAGGUCAGAGAAUGCAUAAGCUACAGACUUGGAUAUCAAAAAAUAGCAAACUGGAAACGGUAGCAGGAUUUGUUGUGGACAAAAACAAGAGCCAGGGAUUUGAACAGCUCAUAGAGCAUAUGAAGCACUUGACAAAGGUGAAAAUAUGGUGCGAGCAGCCUACUAAUCAUUGUACGGAACUCACUGCCAGCGGCAGCGGCAGCAAGAACUACACUCAUCUCUCAAAGGCCAUCAAGGGGUUCGUCAAGAGAAGCACCGACGUGAAAAAAGCUCAUUCACUCUUACUAAAUUUCAAUGACGAAUUGUUCCAAGACUUGCUCUUAAACUUGUCCCUAGAAAAAGAAGAAGCUUCCUCCUGCUAUCUUCGCUCGCUCAAACUACAAGGGGCCAACAUAUGCAGCCUGCCUCCUUUUGUUACCAUGCUGGGUGGCAUCACUAAGCUGUGCCUUUCAUCUCCUCAUCAGCUGAGCGGGGAUAUUCUUGCUGCCCUGAGCAGAGUGCGCUGCUUGGCAUACCUGAAGCUGGUUGCAUCCCGGCUGGACAAACUCGUCAUCAUAAAAGGUGCACUUGGAAGCCUGCGAUCCCUAUGCAUCGUGGUGGAAGUCAUGACUGAGCUGGAAGUCGAAGUUGGAGCUCUGCCGCUCCUCGAGUCGCUCCAGCUGCUAUGUAAGGAUCUAAAUGGCUUUCGUGUCACAGCGAUCCAGGCUCUGCGACGCAUUAAGGAAGUCACCCUCCAUGAUGGAGUGAGCAAUGAAACAAAACAAAAGUGGAAAGAAGCAGCAAAAACCCACCCCAGACGUCCCAAGCUCUUGUUUGUUAAGAUGGCCAAAGAGGUUGAUAUGGGAAGUGAACCUGCUGACAAUUCUACGAGCUCUGUGGAGCCAACUACUCGUAUGACGUUAUCAGUGACAGUUGCCCACGAUGCCAUUUCUAAUGGACAGUCUGGUAAUCAAAUGUUGUGUGUUUUAUUUGUCUUAAUCGCUGGUACGUACUAUUUGUUUAAUUAUUGUGUUAAGUUAAAUAUACUCCCUGUUCACGCAUAUUGUGCAGUAAAAGUUGAUGGUGAUGAUCUGCAACAUGACGAUGAUGAGAAAGAAGAUAUGGAGAACAUUGCUAUGCUAGAUGAUUUUGCUAGCAAAACCUGUCUGGACCCUCUGAUGAACAAGCAAAGUUUUGAACAGCAGAUGGAAGGAGUGGUAGGUUUAGAGGAUCAGCAGAUGGAAGAUGUCACUUGGUCUACUGAUCAGGCUGAUCAAAAUCCUGUGAUUUUAGUGGUGGGUGAGAAUAGAAGAAAGAGGGCUAGAACUCUUGAUGAAGACAAUUCAAUGGACAAGGUUGUAAAUAGGGUGAAGCGCAAGAAUCCAGAGGAUGUCCCAGGUAAUUUACACAUUCCAACUGUCCUAAAUUUAUCCAAUGUUUCUCCUAGUGAUAUAGCUAGUAGAAGUGGGGUCAAGUUUGGAAGUAAUAUUCUUGAGGAAAAUAAAUCUAUUCAAGUGAUUAGAGAUUAA